UACGAAGGGGGCUAGCGUUGUUCGGAAUUACUGGGCGUAAAGCGCACGUAGGCGGAUAUUUAAGUGAGGGGUGAAAUCCCAGGGCUCAACCCUGGAACUGCCUUUCAUACUGGGUAUCUCGAGUUCGAGAGAGGUGAGUGGAAUUGCGAGUGUAGAGGUGAAAUUCGUAGAUAUUCGCAGGAACACCAGUGGCGAAGGCGGCUCACUGGCUCGAUACUGACGCUGAGGUGCGAAAGCGUGGGGAGCAAACAGG
rnacentral:rRNA from 1 species